UUGGGUUAAAUCAAUGUGGAUCAUACACUUUGAAAAUGGAAUUAACAUAAAAUGGUGAAACCUAUAUUAAUUUUAUCCAA
rfam:Medicago truncatula strain A17 chromosome 2, whole genome shotgun sequence.